rnacentral:rRNA from 1 species
GACGAACGCUGGCGGCGUGCUUAACACAUGCAAGUCGAACGGAAAGGCCCUGCUUUUGUGGGGUGCUCGAGUGGCGAACGGGUGAGUAACACGUGAGUAACCUGCCCUUGACUUUGGGAUAACUUCAGGAAACUGGGGCUAAUACCGGAUAGGAGCUCCUGCUGCAUGGUGGGGGUUGGAAAGUUUCGGCGGUUGGGGAUGGACUCGCGGCUUAUCAGCUUGUUGGUGGGGUAGUGGCUUACCAAGGCUUUGACGGGUAGCCGGCCUGAGAGGGUGACCGGCCACAUUGGGACUAAGAUACGGACCAGACUGCUACGGGAGGCAGCAGUGGGGAGUAUUGCACAAUGGGCGGAAGCCUGAUGCAGCAACGCCGCGUGCGGGAUGACGGCCUUCGGGUUGUAAACCGCUUUCGCCUGUGACGAAGCGUGAGUGACGGUAAUGGGUAAAGAAGCACCGGCUAACUACGUG